rnacentral:rRNA from 1 species
AAAGGUAGCGUAAUCAUUAGUUUUUUAAUUGAAAGCUUGUAUGAAUGGUUGGACGAGGUAAUAACUGUCUUUGUUUAAUGUAAAGUUGAAUUUAACUUUUGAGUCAAAAGGCUCAAAUUUAAUUGAUAGACGAGAAGACCCUAUAGAUCUUUAUUUACAAGGUUAUAUAUUAAAUUUGGAUAAAUUUAUGGUUUAUGAUUUUGUAAAUUUUAUUGGGGUAAUAUAGAGAUUUAAUAAAUUCUUUGAAUAAUUUCAACAAUGAUGAUUGACAAAUUGAUCCAUUAGUAUUGAUUAUAAGAUUAAGUUACCUUAGGGAUAACAGCGUAAUUUUUUUAAAGAGUUCAUAUCGAUAAAAAAGU